CCCCUAGUAACUGCGAGUGAACCGGGAAGAGCUCAAAUUUUGAAUCUGGUAGUCUUUUGGCUGCCCGAGUUGUAAUCUAGAGAAGCGUUUUCCGCGCUGGACCGUGUACAAGUCUCCUGGAAGGGAGCGUCAUAGAGGGUGAGAAUCCCGUCUUUGACACGGACUGCCAGUGCUAUGUGAUGCGCUCUCGACGAGUCGAGUUGUUUGGGAAUGCAGCUCAAAAUGGGUGGUAAAUUCCAUCUAAAGCUAAAUACAGGCGAGAGACCGAUAGCGAACAAGUACCGUGAGGGAAAGAUGAAAAGAACUUUGGAAAGAGAGUUAAACAGUACGUGAAAUUGCUGAAAGGGAAACGCUUGAUGUCAGUCGCGUCGGCCAGGGAUCAACCUUGCAGUUUUGCUGGGUGCAUUUCCUGGUCGAUGGGUCAGCAUCAGUUUCUGUCGCCGUACAAUGGCAAAGGGAAUGUGGCACUCUUUCGGGAGUGUGUUAUAGCCUUUCGUCGUAUGCGGUGGUUGGGACUGAGGAACUCGGCACGACUUCGGUCUGUGUCUAGGA
rnacentral:rRNA from 1 species